rnacentral:rRNA from 2 species
UUGACCUCGGAUCAGGUAGGGAUACCCGCUGAACUUAAGCGCGGAGGAAAAGAAACCAACAGGGAUUGCCUCAGUAACGGCGAGUGAAGCGGCAAAAGCUCAAAUUUUAAAGCUGGCAUCUUCGGUGUCCGCGUUGUAAUUUUGUGAGGCAUCUCCGGGUAGGGCGCCGGCCUAAGUUCCUUGGAACAGGACGUCACAGAGGGUGAGAAUCCCGUGCUUGGCUGGCUGUCCCCGUCCAUGUGAGGUGUCUUCGACGAGUCGAGUUGUUUGGGAAUGCAGCUCAAAAUGGGUGGUAAAUUUCAUCUAAAGCUAAAUAUUGGUGGGAGACCGAUAGCGCACAAGUAGAGUGAUCGAAAGAUGAAAAGCACUUUGAAAAUAGAGUUAAAAAGUACGUGAAAUUGUUGAAAGGGAAGCGCUUGAGACCAGACUUCGGUAGGGGGUGAUCAGCCGUCCUUCUGGGCGGUGCACUUGCCCCCCUCCGGGCCAGCAUCGGUUGAGGCGGCGGGAUAAAGGUCCCGGGAAUGUGACUCCUCUCAAGGGAGUGUUUAUAGCCCGGGUGAAUGCCGCCAGCUUCGACCGAGGACCGCGCCCGC